GAUGAACGCUGGCGGCGUGCCUAAUACAUGCAAGUCGAGCGAACAGACGAGGAGCUUGCUCCUCUGACGUUAGCGGCGGACGGGUGAGUAACACGUGGAUAACCUACCUAUAAGACUGGGAUAACUUCGGGAAACCGGAGCUAAUACCGGAUAAUAUAUUGAACCGCAUGGUUCAAUAGUGAAAGACGGUUUUGCUGUCACUUAUAGAUGGAUCCGCGCCGCAUUAGCUAGUUGGUAAGGUAACGGCUUACCAAGGCAACGAUGCGUAGCCGACCUGAGAGGGUGAUCGGCCACACUGGAACGGAGACACGGUCCAGACUCCUACGGGAGGCAGCAGUAAGGAAUCUUCCGCAAUGGGCGAAAGCCUGACGGAGCAACGCCGCGUGAGUGAUGAAGGUCUUCGGAUCGUAAAACUCUGUUAUUAGGGAAGAACAAAUGUGUAAGUAACUAUGCACGUCUUGACGGUACCUAAUCAGAAAGCCACGGCUAACUACGUG
rnacentral:rRNA from 1 species